CCCAUAAUAUAAAAUUGGAUACAAUGUGAAAAUAGAACGAUUAUCGUUUAAUUUUGGUUUAAAAUAUACAUAAAAUAAAAAGAAAAGAAAAAAAGAAAAAAAAGAAGAGGAGGACGUCCGAUCAUUUUGGAAAUUGUACCACGUCUAGGUAAGUCUAAUAUAACUAUUAUUACUGAGUUUCAAGUCGCUACGUGUAUUUAUAACCGCGUUACAGUAAACAAACUCCCA